UACAGAGGUCUCGAGCGUUGAUCGGAGUUAUUGGGCUUACAGGGUGCGUAGGCGGAUGCGUAAGUGUCUUGUGAAAUCCCACGGCUUAACCGUGGAACUGCAGGGCAUACUGCGUAUCUUGAGGCCAGUAGGGGUUGCCGGAACUGUAGGUGUAGCGGUGAAAUGCGUAGAUAUCUACAGGAACGCCGAUGGUGAAGACAGGCAACUGGGCUGGUACUGACGCUGAGGCACGAAAGCGGGGGGAUCAAACAGG
rnacentral:rRNA from 1 species